rnacentral:rRNA from 1 species
AUUGAACGCUGGCGGCAUGCCUUACACAUGCAAGUCGAACGGCAGCACGGGUGCUUGCACCUGGUGGCGAGUGGCGAACGGGUGAGUAAUACAUCGGAACAUGUCCUGUCGUGGGGGAUAGCCCGGCGAAAGCCGGAUUAAUACCGCAUACGAUCUACGGAUGAAAGCGGGGGACCUUCGGGCCUCGCGCUAUGGGGUUGGCCGAUGGCUGAUUAGCUAGUUGGUGGGGUAAAGGCCUUCCAAGGCGACGAUCAGUAGCUGGUCUGAGAGGACGACCAGCCACACUGGGACUGAGACACGGCCCAGACUCCUACGGGAGGCAGCAGUGGGGAAUGUUGGACAAUGGGCGAAAGCCUGAUCCAGCAAUGCCGCGUGUGUGAAGAAGGCCUUCGGGUUGUAAAGCACUUUUGUCCGGAAAGAAAUCCUUGGCCCUAAUACGGUCGGGGGAUGACGGUACCGGAAGAAUAAGCACCGGCUAACUACGUG